AUGAAGCCAAAGGUAAUGAGGAAGAUGCAAGACAAGAUCAGGGCGGCGUUCCGCGAGAUCGAUCUCCGGACGAGCGGAAGUUGCAUCAAGUACCUCGGCUUGGUGAUCAAGGAGACGUUCAAGCUGUACCCAGCAACUACCAUCUUGAUCCCUCGAGGGAGCACCGAGGCCUGCGAGAUCAACAGCCAAGACGAGGGUGAUCAUAAACUCCUGGGUAAUCAUGUUGGACACCCAGUCCAGGAACAUGCCGAGGAGUUCAGAGCGGAGAGGUUCAAGGGAGCUCGCAUGGACUUUCAUGGUGUAUUCUUCGGGUACACGCUGCAGACCAAGGAUGGCAUGUACCUGAAGCAGGAGUUUAUGAUGGCCCAGCAGUUUAUGAUCACUCUCGUUUUGCCUGUCAUCACGUACUCAUUGAUCUUGCAUGCCCCCGAGCGGCUUGUACCCGAAGUAGAUGCCAUGACAGUCCAUACGAGCAGCCUUGAACUUCUCAGGCCUUAA
rnacentral:rRNA from 1 species